AUUCGAUUGCUGAAGGCGAUUGUCUGAAAAUAGCUUGAAAUAUCCUUUCAUAGCUUGACUUCUACAUAAUGUUAGAAUAUCACCAUAUGUACUGUAUCUUGAGGGCUUUAAAAAGCUGCUUUUAAUUCUUUUUGACAGAAAUAUCGUUAUCUAGUGUUUUGUCAGUCAACCAGAGGAAGCAGAUUAGGAUUGACGUUGCCUCCCACCAGAGCUUGCUACGCAAGUGAAUAUAGUGAGUAGUGGGAGAUCAAGUUAUUCAAUUAUCGCCACGGAUUUCGUGAUCAGUUUUUUUUAAGGUGUCUAUGGAGAGUGUUUGCUGUUAUAAUGAUUCACAGACUUAGAUGGUUGGCCCUGAUCUGUAUUGGGCAAUUGCGUCCGUCGUCAUUGAUUACACCACCUGUCAUCUAGCCCACGCAUUUCGAAAAAUAGCUCCAAAUGAAAGAUUACGUGAGACUUAGUACAAAGG
rnacentral:lncRNA from 1 species